CCUUAAGACACAAUCACUCGGAACGUGCCGGGUCUCAUCAGAGCUCAGAAGCUAAGCGGGGUUGAGCCUGGAUAACAUUUGGAUGUGUGAGGA
rnacentral:rRNA from 1 species